CUACGGGAUGCACCAGUGAGGAAUAUUGCACAAUGGGGGGAACCCUGAUGCAGCAACGCCGCGUGGAGGAUGACGCAUUUCGGUGUGUAAACUCCUUUUAUAUGUCAAGAAAAUGACGGUAGCAUAUGAAUAAGCACCGGCUAACUCCGUGCCAGCAGCCGCGGUAAUACGGAGGGUGCAAGCGUUACUCGGAAUCACUGGGCGUAAAGGACGCGUAGGUGGGUUGGAAAGUCAGGUGUGAAAUCCUACAGCUUAACUGUAGAACUGCACUUGAAACUUCUAAUCUAGAGUAUGGGAGGGGGAGAUGGAAUUAGUGGUGUAGGGGUAAAAUCCGUAGAUAUCACUAGGAAUACCUAAAGCGAAGGCGAUCUCCUGGAACAUUACUGACGCUAAGGCGUGAAAGCGUGGGGAGCAAACAGGAUUAGAUACCCCAGAGUC
rnacentral:rRNA from 1 species